rnacentral:rRNA from 1 species
UACCCUUGACAUGCCAGGAAGUCCUGCAGAGAUGUGGGAGUGCUCGAAAGAGAACCUGGACACAGGUGCUGCAUGGCUGUCGUCAGCUCGUGUCGUGAGAUGUUGGGUUAAGUCCCGCAACGAGCGCAACCCUUGUCAUUAGUUGCCAUCAUUAAGUUGGGCACUCUAAUGAGACUGCCGGUGACAAACCGGAGGAAGGUGGGGAUGACGUCAAGUCCUCAUGGCCCUUAUGGGUAGGGCUUCACACGUCAUACAAUGGUCGGUACAAAGGGUUGCCAAGCCGCGAGGUCGAGCGAAUCUCAAAAAACCCAUCAUAGUCCGGAUUGCAGUCUGCAACUCGACUGCAUGAAGUUGGAAUCGCUAGUAAUCGUGGAUCAGCAUGCCACGGUGAAUACGUUCCCGGGUCUU